rnacentral:lncRNA from 1 species
AAAAAUAAAUAAACACUGUUUAAACUUUAGAAAAAACUAAAACUUCAAAUGUAAUUGUGAAAACAGUAAAACUUCAAUAUUUGAUCAAAUGCCAAAAUUGAAUACUUGAGUUAAUUCUUUAUGUAAUAUAUAUAUUUAUUUUACAUUUUCAUUAGAAUCUUUGAGUAUUUAUUUGGGACUGAGUUUGGGUUUGCUAAGUUUGUUUUUUGGCAUUAUGAAUUUUUGAGUUUUGUCGAUAUUCGCUC